CAGAAUCCUGUCUUGUGAUCAUUCUGUCAUGUCUCUUGUCCCCAUUCCCCUCCCUGGACUUCUUGCUCUAGGUUGCUGUCCUGCGGGUUGGGACAACUACACCAGGAGUGAGUUUUUCAUUUUCUUUCUUUUUUUUUUUAACAAUUUAUUGCAUUUAUUUUGUGUCCCUGUGUCUGUGUGUGUGUGCUUGCACUCACAGGGGCAAAAUGGGGGUGUCUGACCUCUUGGAACUGGAGUUACUACUUUUGUGAACCACCUAACAAGGAUGCUGGAAUCCAAACUCCGACAGAGCUGUAAGUCAUCUCAAAUUGGUCACCUCAAACUCCAACCUAUUCAUGAGCAAACCAGAAAGCAGAAUUCCUCCAUCUCUUCAGUUCCUGCCUUGAGCUUCAACCAUGGCUUUGCUGGAUGAUGUACUAUUAAAGUGUAACCCCUUUCCUCACCAAGUUGCAUUUGGUCAUGGUGCUUAUCCCAGAAAUAAUAACCAAACUAGAACAAUGGGGAUCUCAGAGUAGGGAAAAAGAGAUGGAGAAAUAAAUGCUUCCAUGGAGUAGAUGGGAUUUGUCAAACAGUUGUGAGGUUGGAAUAGGUCAACACUGAGGAGGAGAAAACUCUAAUCAAGAGGACUCUUGGCUCUUAGCAUCACAGGGGGCACAUAGUCAACACCAACUACCCAUGUCCAAACCCAUUCAUGAAUGUUUGCUGGGCAUACUUGAAGAAUCGUGGUGUUUACAUUUGUCUAUGCUUAUUUGAUUAGUGUAUGUCUCUCUCCACCUCUGACUAACACCACAUAAGAACUGCGUACUCUUUGUAUCCAUGUAUCUAGACUAUUAUCUAGCAUUUAAUAAGGACACAAUAAAUGUUUUAGUUUGAGUGAAUGAAGGAUGAAAAUAAAGAAUGCUAGUGUAAGAGAGAGUGUAAAGUAGUUGAGAAUAAGUAAUUAGGUUAUUCUACUCACUCUGCUAUUGCUUAAGGGGACAGGAUCUCAGGUAUCCCAGAAUAAUUAUGACUCUAUGUAUCCAGGGAAGACCUUAAAUUCUUGUCCCUCCUGGUUUCAUCUUCCACAAGCAAGUGCCACCAUGCCUUGUAUUAUCUAUGCAUUCUUAGUUAUUGGAAACACUAGUAUACAGUUUACAAUAACAGUAUUUACAUUUUUCUUAACUAGUCAUUUUACAUUUAACAGUAUUUUACAGUCCUCCACUAAAUAAUCUUUGUAGACAUUGUAAGCCAAAAUGCAACAAAACAGACAACAUAAGAAAGACCUUUGAAAUAGAUUUAAAAAAAAAAAAAACAUUGUACUACUUGGAGUUCACCAACAUAGGAUUCAAUAGACAGCCACAGCACUGGGUCCUGGCAGGAACAAUGGCACACAUGGUGUCUAAACAUGGACUAUUUCGGGCUUGAACAAGCCAAGUGUUUUGUAAUAGACAGCAGUCAUCCAAUAUGGGUGCUCCAAACUAGCACCCCUAGAUUCUGCUCCAAGCAGGGGCAGGAAGAACCAUCUUGAUGAUUUUUCUUUUGUCUUUUCUGCAGCCCACUUAAAUAUUCCCAGUUACAGAGCACUCAAAAUAUAAAAGCUGAUUCUACUCCAAGUUUUUUAUUGAAGCACUUAAUUAGCUGAUUAUAUGCAGUGUCUUAGAAUGGGCUAAUUUGAAAAGGAUUGAGUGCCUAAACACCCUGUGAGGCAGCUG
rnacentral:lncRNA from 1 species